AACGAACGCUGGCGGCAGGCCUAACACAUGCAAGUCGAGCGCGCCCUUCGGGGUGAGCGGCGGACGGGUGAGUAACGCGUGGGAACGUGCCCUUUUCUACGGAAUAGCCUCGGGAAACUGAGAGUAAUACCGUAUACGCCCUUUGGGGGAAAGAUUUAUCGGAAAAGGAUCGGCCCGCGUUGGAUUAGGUAGUUGGUGGGGUAAUGGCCUACCAAGCCGACGAUCCAUAGCUGGUUUGAGAGGAUGAUCAGCCACACUGGGACUGAGACACGGCCCAGACUCCUACGGGAGGCAGCAGUGGGGAAUCUUAGACAAUGGGGGCAAACCUGAUCUAGCCAUGCCGCGUGAGUGAUGAAGGCCUUAGGGUUGUAAAGCUCUUUCAGCUGGGAAGAUAAUGACGGUACCAGCAGAAGAAGCCCCGGCUAACUCCGUG
rnacentral:rRNA from 1 species